rnacentral:ncRNA from 1 species
AAAAAUUCGAUGAAGAAGAGAGUAAUUGAUGGACAACUGGCAAGCGAGUUAGGGUUGGUGUGAGCCUAAUGCAGAACCCAUGAAUGAAGCGCACUUUGGAGAAGAUUCUCGAACAAGUAGUAGAGAAUAGCGGGGCGUCACCUCGUUAACAAUGGAAAGUGGUCAUAUUAAAUGGCAACUAGAGUGGUACCACGGGAUUAUGAUGCUCUCGUCUCUAAU